GAUGAACGCUGGCGGCGUGCCUAAUACAUGCAAGUCGAGCGAACAGACGAGGAGCUUGCUCCUCUGACGUUAGCGGCGGACGGGUGAGUAACACGUGGAUAACCUACCUAUAAGACUGGGAUAACUUCGGGAAACCGGAGCUAAUACCGGAUAAUAUAUUGAACCGCAUGGUUCAAUAGUGAAAGACGGUUUUGCUGUCACUUAUAGAUGGAUCCGCGCCGCAUUAGCUAGUUGGUAAGGUAACGGCUUACCAAGGCAACGAUGCGUAGCCGACCUGAGAGGGUGAUCGGCCACACUGGAACUGAGACACGGUCCAGACUCCUACGGGGGGCAGCAGUAGGGAAUCUUCCGCAAUGGGCGAAAGCCUGACGGAGCAACGCCGCGUGAGUGAUGAAGGUCUUCGGAUCGUAAAACUCUGUUAUUAGGGGAGAACAAAUGUGUAAGUAACUAUGCACGUCUUGACGGUACCUAAUCAGAAAGCCACGGCUAACUACGUG
rnacentral:rRNA from 1 species